rnacentral:tRNA from 1 species
GCGUUUGUGGUUUAGUGGUAAAAUCCAUCCUUGCCAUCAGAGGUCAGAAAAUGAUCAGUGAUUAGAUUGGAUGGGCCCCGGGUUCGAUUCCCGGCGAACGCA